rnacentral:lncRNA from 1 species
GCUACGGGACCUGAGGGAAGUCCCAGCCUCCGUUGCUCACCUGUGGGAGCCAUGAAUCAAAGGUGACCGACUUGAGUGUCCCUCCAAAUCUGACGCCCUGGACUGUAUCCAGGUGGGGAAGAGCUCAGGGCCUCUGAAGUCACCAAGCCCCUUGACAUCUCAGUGCUGGGGGCCCUCUGAGGUCAGAGGCCCCUCCCUGCCACUUCCUGCAGGUCUCUCCAUAGCACCAGCCAAGAAGUCAUCCGCCUCUGCUGGCAUGCCUCCAGGGACGCGAGCUCCUUGCUCCUCACGCGGCCCGCGCUGUCCUGCCCGGCCUGCACUUUGGGAAGUUCUUUCUGAACUUUGUUUCCCUGUGGCUUCUAUUUGGGGUUGCGCUUGCAUCCCGUGGAAUCACAUGACCCAAUUGAGCCUCCCCGAGAAUCAGUUUCCCCAUCUGUGAAAUGGGAACAGCGGUCUCCUGCUCCCCUGCCCCCAGCAGCCCAUCUCGUGGUCUGUGGGGUUUCUCCAGAGGCCCCCAGGCCUCACUAGGAGUCUGCGGUCCUGGGAACAGGGGGUAGGACAGGGCAGGGUCCGGAAGCAGGUGAUAGGCAGGGUGAGGGCUCAGGACUCAGGAUGUG